UUCAACAAAUUUGAACCAAGAAUUAAAAAAAUAUCAUCACAACCGUUUACACUAUCUUAUUUAUUCACAUGACAUGCCACAAAAUGGACAAUAUUGAUCAUAUCAUCUCAAAAUUAAACAUACUUACCCUAAUUCCGUGAACAUGCACAAAAACAAAUAAAUUGCAUCCUUUGUUCAGAGCACAGAAAUUUAAAAAAAACACGCAAAGGAACAAUUACAAAAUUUCCAUGUACAUUUCUGAAGAAAAUAUGAACAUCUCACGAAUUUGCGUGAGCAUCAUGGAAAAUCACAUAAACUUUCUGGCAUGGACGCUGCAGCCACAAACCCAUAAUGGAAGAUGCGGAUACGGCAUCAUGGGCAUCAACAAGAAGAGUGACGUAUGAGAGAAAAAGAUACGGUUGGUGAAAAUAAUUGGCAACGUCGACGAGGCGUGGCUCCGGCGAACUCAAAACGUGGAGGAGGUCACCCAUCCGUGGACCACGCAAAGGAAAUUACUGCUGAAGAAGAAGCAUGCGGCGCGAAGCACAUGGAUCCACCUGGAGAAGCCCGCCCCUCCCUCCAUGGAUCCGCCGUCCAUAGAUCCAUGUGGAGGAGCUCGCCUCCAUGGAUUCACCUUCCGUAGAUUCCACGCAGAAGUGAGAAAACGGAGAGGAAAAGGGGAGGAGAAACUCCAGCAACUUGUCUCGCCGGGGCCUCGGUCGCCACACAAAUCUUGCCGCCGCCGCCUCCGGACUCUGUAGAUCCGGUGAUGAUGCACCGCCGUCUCGGUCGCGCCUCCAAUCCGGCCACCGCCGCCGCCGUCUCCUUGCUAGCGCCGGCGAAAAGAGAGAGCGUGAGAGAGGGAUACGGAGAGACGGGUAGGGUGGGAUUGAAAAGGCAAAGACCGGUCAAGAAGGUAACAGCAAGGAAAUACAUUGCUACACGACAUUGUUACACGUUAGUAGUCUCAUACAGUACCACGUAGGAUUUUUGAUGAUGUGGAGGAGAGAGAGCGAGGAGAAAGAAAGAGGUCGUUGCUUCGCGAAACAACCACCUCAUGAGCUAAAUUGUAGGACUACGAAACAACUUAACAACUAUUGUACGAGUUAUUGUUGCCACGCAACUCAUACUAUUUUAUUUUUCUUAUGCGCAAAUUAAGGAAUUAUAUACCACUACCAGACAACUUAUGGACAACCCAUUGUACGAGUUGCCUGUUGAAUCGUCUCAAGAUUACGUGUCAAUGCAUGAGACCACCUAUUAGACGACACCAAUGUAUAAGCUCCUUCCUAAUCUCUCGUUAUUUCUCUGUUUAAACGGCAAGGUUCCCAUCCGACGGCUGCGCAAGACCAGCGCCGCGGCCCACCAGCGCAACGAUGAAUUUCCGUCCCACGAGGCUAGGGCGCAGCCGCGCAGGACUUUUUUAGGGUCUGUUUGGCAGAGCUCCACGCAGCUCCAGAUCAAAAAAC
rnacentral:lncRNA from 1 species